GCCUGAGUGGCGGAAUUGGUAGACGCACAGGACUUAAAAUCCUGGGAAGGUCAUACUUCGUGCCGGUUCAACUCCGGCCUUAGGCACCA
rnacentral:tRNA from 1 species